rnacentral:rRNA from 1 species
UGGGGAAUAUUGGACAAUGGGCGAAAGCCUGAUCCAGCCAUGCCGCGUGUGUGAAGAAGGUCUUCGGAUUGUAAAGCACUUUAAGUUGGGAGGAAGGGCAUUAACCUAAUACGUUAGUGUUUUGACGUUACCGACAGAAUAAGCACCGGCUAACUCUGGGCCAGCAGCCGCGGUAAUACAGAGGGGGCAAGCGUUAAUCGGAAUUACGGGGCGUAAAGCGCGCGUAGGUGGUUUGUUAAGUUGGAUGUGAAAUCCCCGGGCUCAACCUGGGAACUGCAUUCAAAACUGACUGACUAGAGUAUGGUAGAGGGUGGUGGAAUUUCCUGUGUAGCGGUGAAAUGCGUAGAUAUAGGAAGGAACACCAGUGGCGAAGGCGACCACCUGGACUAAUACUGACACUGAGGUGCGAAAGCGUGGGGAGCAAACA